GUAGGUGGCAAGCGUUGUCCGGAAUUAUUGGGCGUAAAGCGCGCGCAGGCGGUUCUUUAAGUCUGAUGUGAAAGCCCACGGCUCAACCGUGGAGGGUCAUUGGAAACUGGAGAACUUGAGUACAGAAGAGGAAAGCGGAAUUCCACGUGUAGCGGUGAAAUGCGUAGAGAUGUGGAGGAACACCAGUGGCGAAGGCGGCUUUCUGGUCUGUAACCGACGCUGAGGCGCGAAAGCGUGGGGAGCAAACAGGAUUAGAUACCCUGGUAGUCCACGCCGUAAACGAUGAGUGCUAAGUGUUAGGGGGUUUCCGCCCCCCUUAGUGCUGCAGCUAACGCAUUAAGCACUCCGCCUGGGAUACGGCCGCAAGGCUG
rnacentral:rRNA from 1 species